rnacentral:sRNA from 1 species
UUAGAGUUGUGAAGGAGACUGAUGCUGUGAUGACUGAUUCAGUUAGGACACCAUCCAAGACCCUUUGUGUAGGAGUUGGAUUGCAGGAUGUGGAAACUAUUGUGACAAGUUUCUUUGAUGAAGAAUGUAGCAGAGAAGGACUCGGUUCUGUCUCAUAUUGAAAGUGUUUUGAAACGGCUAAUGUUUUAUAUAGUGUGGUGCUUUCUCAUUGUACAU